rnacentral:rRNA from 1 species
CGGACGGGUGAGUAACACGUGGAUAACCUACCUAUAAGACUGGGAUAACUUCGGGAAACCGGAGCUAAUACCGGAUAAUAUAUUGAACCGCAUGGUUCAAUGGUGAAAGACGGUUUUGCUGUCACUUAUAGAUGGAUCCGCGCCGCAUUAGCUAGUUGGUAAGGUAACGGCUUACCAAGGCAACGAUGCGUAGCCGACCUGAGAGGGUGAUCGGCCACACUGGAACUGANACACGGUCCAGACUCCUACGGGAGGCAGCAGGC